ensembl:snRNA U6 U6 spliceosomal RNA
GUGCUCACUUUGGCAGCAAAUGUAAUAAAAUUGUAAUGAUGUAGAAAAGAUUAGCAUGGCCUUUAUUCAAGGAUGACAUGCAAAUUUAUGAAGCAUUCUAUAUUUUU